UGCUGCACACAUGUUAUUGGGGAUUUUUUUAAUUGUUGUUAUUAUUUUUCCUCUCUAGGUUGAUUCUUCACGUGGAUCAGAAGCAACCAGCAAUGAACUCCUGAAAUCUUUGUUUACUGCCUUUGAGGAACCUUUGUACCCUUGCCAUUUCUCCAUGAGGUGUGUCCCCAGAUCACUUUCUGGAUGGCAGGCAAUGGCCGCUAGAAGUUCAGUUUUGUGCCCUGCUACUCAUGGAAACCCUUGUUUUCGCAUUUAAUCACGCAGUGCCAGGUGGCCCCAGCCUGAGGCUCAAGACAAC
rnacentral:lncRNA from 1 species